rnacentral:rRNA from 1 species
AUGGCCCCGAGCGCGUCGAUGCUGUUCCUGAGCUACCACCAGCUGCACCACGGCCCCGCCGACGCGCCACACGGCAAGGAUGGCGCCGACGGCUUCCGGUUCGGCCUUGGCAAUGUCUUCUUCUCCCUCGGCGUCCUGGCGCCGAAGCGGCGGGAUGCGGCGCCAGAGGCGACGGUGUUCGACGGAAAGCAGAAGCAGAGGGCGCGUCGGUCCGGCGGCGAGGAGGAGGAGCCCGCGACGCUGGCGAGCAAGUUCGAUGAGGCCGUGCGGCUCAGCUGCUGGUCGUCGUGA